GGGGGAUUAGUGGCGAACGGGUGAGUAACACGUGAGUAACCUGCCCUUAACUCUGGGAUAAGCCUGGGAAACUGGGUCUAAUACCGGAUAUGACUCCUCAUCGCAUGGUGGGGGGUGGAAAGCUUUAUUGUGGUUUUGGAUGGACUCGCGGCCGUAUCUCCUUGUUGGUGAGGUAAUGGCUCACCAAGGCGACCACGGGUAGCCGGCCUGAGAGGGUGACCGGCCACACUGAUACUGAGACACGGCCCAUACUCCUACUGGAGGCAGCAGUGGGGAAUAUUGCACAAUGGGCGAAAGCCUGAUGCAGCGACGCCGCAUGAGGUAUGACGGCCUUCUGGUUGUAAACCUCUUUCAGUAGGGAAGAAGCGAAAGUGACGGUACCUGCACAACAAGCGCCGGCUAGCUACGUGCCAGCAGCCGCAGUAAUACGUACGGCGCAAGCGUUAUGCUGAAUUAUUGUACGUAAAGAGCUCGUAGGCGGUUUGUCGCGUCUGCCGUGAAAGUCCGGGGCUCACUCCGGAUCUGCGGUGGGUACGGGCAGACUAGAGUGAUGUAGGGGAGACUGGAAUUCCUGGUGUAGCGGUGAAAUGCGCAGAUAUCAGGAGGAACACCGAUGGCGAAGGCAGGUCUCUGGGCAUUAACUGACGCUGAGGAGCGAAAGCAUGGGGAGCGAACAGGAUUAGAUACCCUGGUAGUCCAUGCCGUAAACGUUGGGCACUAGGUGUGGGGGACAUUCCACGUUUUCCGCGCCGUAGCUAACGCAUUAAGUGCCCCGCCUGGGGAGUACGGCCGCAAGGGCU
rnacentral:rRNA from 1 species